rnacentral:rRNA from 1 species
UAAUACAGAGGGUGCGAGCGUUAAUCGGAUUUACUGGGCGUAAAGCGUGCGUAGGCGGCUUCUUAAGUCGGAUGUGAAAUCCCUGAGCUUAACUUAGGAAUUGCAUUCGAUACUGGGAAGCUAGAGUAUGGGAGAGGAUGGUAGAAUUCCAGGUGUAGCGGUGAAAUGCGUAGAGAUCUGGAGGAAUACCGAUGGCGAAGGCAGACAUCUGGCCUAAUACUGACGCUGAGGUACGAAAGCAUGGGGAGCAAACAGGAUUAGAUACCCUGGUAGUCCAUGCCGUAAACGAUGUCUACUAGCCGUUGGGGCCUUUGAGGCUUUAGUGGCGCAGCUAACGCGAUAAGUAGACCGCCUGGGGAGUACGGUCGCAAGACUAAA